AUUAGUUAAAAGCAAACCUUUCGAAAGACUGGGACGCAAAGCUACAGGUCUAAGGUUUUAAACUAUGAUCGCUGGGUUGCCUAA
rnacentral:ncRNA from 2 species